UACGGAGGGUGCGAGCGUUGUCCGGAAUCAUUGGGCGUAAAGGGCGCGUAGGUGGCGCUCCAAGUCUGUGGUGAAAGCUCGAUGCUCAACAUCGAGUCGGCCAUAGAGACUGGAGGGCUCGAGCACUGUAGGGGCAGAUGGAAUUCCGGGUGUAGCGGUGGAAUGCGUAGAGAUCCGGAAGAACACCGGUGGCGAAGGCGGUCUGCUGGGCAGUUGCUGACACUGAGGCGCGACAGCGUGGGGAGCAAACAGG
rnacentral:rRNA from 1 species